CUGCUGAGCAGUGUGGGUACCAGCCCAAAAUCCAGCUAAAUUAGGGAAUGAAUCCCCCCCUCACGUUCCCAGUGUUUGGGCAGGAGCCCCAUUCCCUGCUCCCCUCCAGAGGUGGCUCCACGAGCUCCUUCAUCCCAGAAUUCCCGUAUUUUUUCCAGGCUGAUGAGCCCAUCGCGGAUUACGCAGCGAUGGACGACGUUAUGCAAGUUUGUAUGCCCGAAGAGGGAUUUAAAGGGACUGGUUUACUUGGCCACUGAUGGUUUUCCAAGAGGAGCGACCCGAAGGGAAGAGGAUUUGGGACGUGGUAGGGCAUUAAAAGCAUCCAAAAA